GGAUGUGAGGGUGAUCUGGCUGCGACAACUGUCACCCCAUUGAUUGCCAGGGUAGAUUUGACUGAUCUGGUUGGCUAGCCAGGUGUCCCCUUUCUCCCUCACCAUUCCAUGUGUGUCCCUCCCAAAGUUGUGCACUCAGUGGAAGAGGAUGACGUCCCAGGUAUAGAAGGAGUGUACCAAGGUCUCC
rnacentral:snRNA from 1 species